ACGAAGGAGCCCUUGGGUGGGCAGGUGUGGUGACUUCUCCUUGUACGGUUCAGAGCACCAGGAGCUGGGACAGACAAUGAUGUGCCUGGGAUGGAAAUGUCCGUCCUUGCCCCACACGGCUGCUCCACUCGUGCUGUUCAUCACAAGGCCUUUCCUCCUUUCCAUGAGCAGUGCACAUCUGGAAGGAAACCUCUAGGAAAGGCUUUACCCAGCGCUAGACCCAGCUGAGGUGCUGUGACAGCCUGAUGUGGGCGCUGGGACCCCACCCGGGACACUGCGAGAGAAAAUGCUGGAUGAGAAACACCUGAGCUCCCGUGCCCCGCCUGCCCUCGGCCCCGGGCACCGGAGGGGCUCGUCCUGCUGACGGGCACCAGGUGAUCCGAGUUCCCCAUUUGUGGGUGAUUCCCCGGAUUUUUGGGUGAUAAGAGGCGAAGCAGCAGUGCCUCUGUUUUCUUCCUGGUGACUACACACGGAUCUAUCCCUG